UGGUUCCACGCAGAAGAGGCAUCUGAUGAGUCUGCCCGGUGCGCUGUGGCUGUGUCGGACACCACAGGAAAAUGUGCU
rnacentral:tRNA from 1 species